rnacentral:rRNA from 1 species
UACAGAGGGUGCAAGCGUUGUUCGGAAUUAUUGGGCGUAAAGGGUGCGUAGGCGGUUUGGUAAGUCUUAUGUGAAAUCUACAGGCUCAACUUGUAGUCUGCAUGAGAAACUGCCGGGCUUGAGUAUGGGAGAGGUGAGUGGAAUUCCUGGUGUAGCGGUGAAAUGCGUAGAUAUUGGGAGGAACACCAGUGGCGAAGGCGACUCUCUGGACAGUAACUGACGCUGAGGCGCGAAGGCGUGGGGAGCAAACAGG